UACGGAAUGUGCAAACGUUAUUCGGAAUCACUGGGCUUAAAGAGUCCGUAGGCGGCAUGUUAGGUGAGGUGUGAAAUCCCCCGGCUCAACCGAGGAAUUGCGCUUCAAACCGGCGUGCUCGAGGAAGAUAGAGGUGGGCGGAACUGAUGGUGGAGCGGUGAAAUGCGUUGAUAUCAUCAGGAACACCGGAGGCGAAAGCGGCCCACUGAGUCUUUUCUGACGCUGAGGGACGAAAGCUAGGGGAGCGAACGGG
rnacentral:rRNA from 1 species